rnacentral:pre_miRNA from 1 species
UCUCAUGGAUGAGCAAAGAAAGUGGUUUCUUGAGAUGGAAUCUACUCCUGGUGAGGAUGCUAUGAA